rnacentral:rRNA from 1 species
UACGGGGGGGGCAAGCGUUGUUCGGAAUUACUGGGCGUAAAGGGCCAGUAGGCGGCCAACUAAGUCCGACGUGAAAUCCCCAGGCUUAACCUGGGAACUGCGUCGGAUACUGGAUGGCUUGAAUUCGGGAGAGGGAUGCAGAAUUCCGGGUGUAGCGGUGGAAUGCGCAGAUAUCGGGAGGAACACCAAUGGCGAAGGCAGCUCGCUGGGACGGUACUGACGCUGAGACGCGAAAGCGUGGGGAGCAAACAGG